GACGAACGCUGGCGGCGUGCCUAAUACAUGCAAGUCGUGCGAAGGUCUUCGGACCCUAGCGGCGAACGGGUGAGUAACACGUGGGCAACCUGCCCUCAAGACUGGGAUAACACCGGGAAACCGGUGCUAAUACCAGAUAAUCUUCAGCCUCGCAUGGGGCUGGAGUAAAAGGAUCUUCCACUUGAGGAUGGGCCCGCGGCGCAUUAGCUUGUUGGUAGGGUAACGGCCUACCAAGGCGACGAUGCGUAGCCGACCUGAGAGGGUGAUCGGCCACACUGGGACUGAGACACGGCCCAGACUCCUACGGGAGGCAGCAGUAGGGAAUUUUCCGCAAUGGGCGAAAGCCUGACGGAGCAACGCCGCGUGAGUGAGGACGGCCUUCGGGUUGUAAAACUCUGUUCUGAAGGAAGAAGUUCUGACGGUACUUCAGGAGAAAGCCCCGGCUAACUACGUGCCAGCAGCCGCGGUAA
rnacentral:rRNA from 1 species